CGAAAGCCUGACGCAGCGACGCCGCGUGGGUGAUGAAGGCCUUCGGGUCGUAAAGCCCUGUCGGGAGGGACGAAACCUCGGUGACCUAAUACGUCACCGUCCUGACGGUACCUCUUAAGGAAGCACCGGCUAACUCCGUGCCAGCAGCCGCGGUAAUACGGAGGGUGCGAGCGUUGUUCGGAAUUAUUGGGCGUACAGGGUGCGCAGGCGGUCUUGCAAGUCAGAUGUGAAAGCCCCGGGCUUAACCUGGGAAUUGCGUUUGAAAAUACGAGGCGAGAGUGCAGCAGAGGGGAGUGGAAUUCCAUGUGUAGCGGUGAAAUGCGUAGAGAUGUGGAAGAACACCUAUGGCGAAGGCAGCUCCCUGGGUUGACACUGACGCUCAUGCACGAAAGCGUGGGGAGCAAACA
rnacentral:rRNA from 1 species